GACGAACGCUGGCGGCGUGCCUAAUACAUGCAAGUAGAACGCUGAAGAGAGGAGCUUGCUCUUCUAGGAUGAGUUGCGAACGGGUGAGUAACGCGUAGGUAACCUGCCUUGUAGCGGGGGAUAACUAUUGGAAACGAUAGCUAAUACCGCAUAACAAUGGAUGACACAUGUCAUUUAUUUGAAAGGGGCAAUUGCUCCACUACAAGAUGGACCUGCGUUGUAUUAGCUAGUAGGUGAGGUAACGGCUCACCUAGGCGACGAUACAUAGCCGACCUGAGAGGGUGAUCGGCCACACUGGGACUGAGACACGGCCCAGACUCCUACGGGAGGCAGCAGUAGGGAAUCUUCGGCAAUGGGGGCAACCCUGACCGAGCAACGCCGCGUGAGUGAAGAAGGUUUUCGGAUCGUAAAGCUCUGUUGUAAGUCAAGAACGAGUGUGAGAGUGGAAAGUUCACACUGUGACGGUAGCUUACCAGAAAGGGACGGCUAACUACGUGCCAGCAGCCGCGGUAAUACGUAGGUCCCGAGCGUUGUCCGGAUUUAUUGGGCGUAAAGCGAGCGCAGGCGGUUUGAUAAGUCUGAAGUUAAAGGCUGUGGCUCAACCAUAGUUCGCUUUGGAAACUGUCAAACUUGAGUGCAGAAGGGGAGAGUGGAAUUCCAUGUGUAGCGGUGAAAUGCGUAGAUAUAUGGAGGAACACCGGUGGCGAAAGCGGCUCUCUGGUCUGUAACUGACGCUGAGGCUCGAAAGCGUGGGGAGCGAACAGG
rnacentral:rRNA from 1 species